GACGAACGCUGGCGGCGUGCUUAACACAUGCAAGUCGAACGGAAAGGCCCUGCUUUUGUGGGGCGCUCGAGUGGCGAACGGGUGAGUAACACGUGAGUAACCUGCCCUUGACUUUGGGAUAACUUCAGGAAACUGGGGCUAAUACCGGAUAGGAGCUCCUGCUGCAUGGUGGGGGUUGGAAAGUUUCGGCGGUUGGGGAUGGACUCGCGGCUUAUCAGCUUGUUGGUGGGGUGGUGGCUUACCAAGGCUUUGACGGGUAGCCGGCCUGAGAGGGUGACCGGCCACAUUGGGACUGAGAUACGGCCCAGACUCCUACGGGAGGCAGCAGUGGGGAAUAUUGCACAAUGGGCGGAAGCCUGAUGCAGCAACGCCGCGUGCGGGAUGACGGCCUUCGGGUUGUAAACCGCUUUCGCCUGUGACGAAGCGUGAGUGACGGUAAUGGGUAAAGAAGCACCGGCUAACUACGUG
rnacentral:rRNA from 1 species